rnacentral:rRNA from 1 species
UACAGAGGUCUCAAGCGUUGUUCGGAUUCAUUGGCGUAAAGGGGUGCGUAGGUGGCGCGGUAAGUCGGGUGUGAAAUUCGGAGACUUCGAACUCCGAAACUGCAUUCGAUACUGCCGUGCUUGAGGACUGGAGAGGAGACUGGAAUUUACGGUGUAGCAGUGAAAUGCGUAGAGAUCGUAAGGAAGACCAGUGGCGAAGGCGGGUCUCUGGACAUUCUGACGCUGAGGCACGAAGGCCAGGGGAGGCAAACGG